rnacentral:misc_RNA from 1 species
GAUGAAGAACGCAGCGAAAUGCGAUAAGUAAUGUGAAUUGUAGAAUUCAGUGAAUCAUCGAAUCUUUGAACGCACAUUGCGCCCCUUGGUAUUCCGAGGGGCACGCCUGUUCGAGCGUCAUUAUAACCCUCAAGCUCAGCUUGGUGUUGGGGCCUGCUGCACUGGCAGCCCUUAAAAUCAGUGGCGGCGCCAUCUGGCUCUAAGCGUAGUAAUUCUUCUCGCUAUGGAGUCCUGGUGGAUGCUUGCCAUCAACCCCCAAUUUUUCUAUGGUUGACCUCGGAUCAGGUAGGGAUACCCGCUGAACUUAAGCAUAUCAAUAAGCGGAGGA